rnacentral:rRNA from 1 species
GUAGGUGGCAAGCGUUGUCCGGGAAUUAUUGGGGCGUAAAGCGCGCGCAGGCGGUUCUUUAAGUCUGAUGUGAAAGCCACGGCUCAACCGUGGAGGGUCAUUGGAAACUGGAGAACUUGAGUACAGAAGAGGAAAGCGGAAUUCCACGUGUAGCGGUGAAAUGCGUAGAGAUGUGGAGGAACACCAGUGGCGAAGGCGGCUUUCUGGUCUGUAACUGACGCUGAGGCGCGAAAGCGUGGGGAGCAAACAGGAUUAGAUACCCUGGUAGUCCACGCCGUAAACGAUGAGUGCUAAGUGUUAGGGGGUUUCCGCCCCUUAGUGCUGCAGCUAACGCAUUAAGCACUCUGCCUGGGGAGUACGGCCGCAAAGGCUG